rnacentral:lncRNA from 1 species
CGCGCUUCGGACGCCAUCGCUGCUUCGUCCUCCGGGGCAGAUCGCUGUUUGGAGACGGGCGCCUGGAGCCGAGACUCCAUAAGCCCCAGGCGCUUGAAACGAAGGAGUGAGAAUGGCGCGCGUGGUGCUCGCCGCCGUGCUGCUGGCGGCGUCGGUGGUGGCCGUUAGCGGCCAGUACCGGCGAUACAGGCAGCGUGACUUUGGCUAUCCGGAGAGGCAGAGCUUGAACGCCGUCCACUCCGGCGAAGCACCUGCUCCCGCCGCGGUCCCCGCCGGCUACAAGGACAUCAGCCGCAGCCACGGCGGUGUCUACGUAGAAGAAAUGUCCAACAGCUACGUUUUGGGCGGCGCCAGGAGGCGCCGACGUAAUCGCUUCAGGCUCGUUGACGUCCCCAACGAUCAGGGUA